GACAGAGGGGGCCAGCGUUGCUCGGAAUCACUGGGCGUAAAGGGCGCGUAGGCGGGGUGGCAAGUCAGUCGUGAAAUCUCUCGGCUCAACCGAGAAACGUCGGCUGAUACUGCCGUUCUUGAGGGAUGCAGAGGAGACUGGAAUUCCCGGUGUAGCGGUGAAAUGUGUAGAGAUCGGGAGGAACACCGGUGGCGAAGGCGGGUCUCUGGGCAUUUCCUGACGCUGAGGCGCGAAAGCGUGGGGAGCAAACGGG
rnacentral:rRNA from 1 species